rnacentral:lncRNA from 1 species
AGCAACCUGCUCGGGACCCCUCUCUGUGACUGUGAGCUGUUCUGUUCUUUUGCCUAUUAAACUCCUGCUCCAAACUCACUCGAUGUGUGUGUGCAUGUCCUUGACCUCAAUAUCUGGUCGUGUGACCAAGAACCUCAGUAUUCACCCCAGACAACAAGGCUGCUUCAUUUUGAGGGCUCGUCUGGGAUUUGAAGGUGACUUCAUCAGAAUGGAAAGUCUCUGGCUGACAAACAAUUGCCUCCUCAAAUACCAAGCUUUGCUGCUAAAGGGAUCUGCAGUCCAGCUGAAAACCUGCCCUUGCCUGAGCCCAGCCACUUUCUCCCAGAGAAAACUGGAGAACCUAAACAUGAUUGUGAACAGAAUGGCUUCCGGUGGCCUGGGACUCCUUGGGGAAACAGAAAAUGCACCACAAAUCCCAUUUUAGGAAAAAUCUGUUUUCCUCGGAGCCCCUGGAAUUAAAGGUGAAUAAAUACCUCUCAAAAUCGUCUUUGUCUUCUGGCUAUGCUUGCUUAUUAGGCCCUGGAAGCUGUAUUCCUAGCUCUGUUCUGAAAGAACCUCACUCAGAGGCCAAUAAUCCAAUUGGGACAUUGGCAAAUGCAAAAUCUUAUAACUGCUGGAUCUUCUUCUGUUUGUGUGGUUAUAUAUGUGUUACUUGUGUAAUGCCUAUUAAAAAAAGGAGCUCUAAUUAAUUGGCCUAAGAAAAAUAAGCGCUUAAAUCAAACAUUUUUAAGGGAAAAGUAAAAGCUGUGGUACCUUUCAGUUCAUGUGACUUUAAUCUUUAAAAAUAAAAAGAGUCUUAGGAAUUAUUGGUAAAAUACAAAUGUCUUCAAGGUAUAAAAAUGUGGUCUAAAUUAUGCAGGUCAAAUACUAGUUUGCUAAAUGUUUUAAGGUUGUAAACUGCUUUUUUUUUUUUGAGAUGGAGUCUUGCUCUGUCGCCAGACUGGAGUGCAGUAGUGCGAUCUUGGCCCACUGCAACCUCUGACUCCCUGGUUCAAGUGAUUCUCCUGUCUCAGCCUCCUGAGUAGCUGGGAUUACAGGCACGCGCCACCACAUCCAUCUAAUUUUUGCAUUUUUAGUAGAGACGGGGUUUCACCAUGUUGGCCAGGAUGGUCUCGAUCUCCUGACCUCGUGAUCCGCCCGCCUUGGCCUCCCAAAGUGCUGGGAUUACAGGCAGGAGCCAUUGCGACUGGCCAUAAAACUACUUCUUUAUUUAGCCUUUAAAAACUAUCAACGUGCCUGCUUCACAAUUGGUAGCACCUGGGAACAUACGGAAGCAACCAAGCCCCUAACUAUGCUGAAAGGAGUCAAACAUUAUCUGCAUCCAGCACAUAAUUAAAACAACCUAACAGGUUUUACAUUAAAGUUAAAAAUUACUAAAAGUUACCAUUAUAACAUGUGAUUGAAACUACUGAACAUGGAAUUACAUGGAAAGUGUGUAAAAACAGUAAAAGAUGUUUUUAUUUAAAGAUUAUAAGAGGGCAUGGAAAUGUAUAUUUUGCUUAGAAAUAAAGAAUUGUCUUAAAGUAGAAGGUUUAAGCAAAUUGUAAAAAAAAACUGUAAAAAUCUUGCAAAAAAAAACACUGCGUGUAAACAUAUUAACUAAAUGCAAAAGGGCAUUAUAUGGUUUUUUUCUGUAAAUUAAUCACUGAAAUAAAAGCACAGCAAGGUUUUCUUAAAAUGCUAAUCUACUCUUUAGCAAAACUUGUCAAGGGUUAUAACAGGUAUGUGAAAAUCUCACUUCAUGGUCAAACUGGUUAAAAUUAAAUAGGAUUGUCUAUAAUGUUUCAUUUAAAAUUAAGUUUAACAUUAAUAGCAAACUAAUGCAAGGGUAAAAUUUAACUUUCUCUCUUAACACGGGAUUUUCAUGGAAUAGAAAAGGCUAAUGAAUGGUUUUUGCUUUUUCAAAUUUCUGGCUCAACAUUUUGGCAAAAACAAAAACUUUUGGUAAUCUAAAAUUCUAUUUCAUAAUAUCAAGUGUUUUAAAUUUUAAAUAUACUUAACAGGCUUCCCAAAGUCAAACUUUAGUCUCAAGUCUGUCUUUCCUAACCCCUGGCUUUUGGGUGCUGCAGAGGACCCCUGAAGCAUCUAGAAGAGAGGUAAACAGUAUUAUUUAACAUGUUGAGGUACAUAAAAUUGCCAAAAUGAUGUCUAAUACUCUUCAGGUUAUACUUUAGGGAAUAAUAUUAACAUGUGUUCCAAAACUGUAUGGGAUGUCUAUGGUUCUAGUGUCUGAAUAUGUGCUAUUACAAUUAAGGUUGUUAUGCUGGGUUUUUGAAAAACACAAAAAUAACCAAAUUUCUUUGUCAAUUGUAUUUCUGACUGUAUCCAAACUGGACAUUUUGUCAUUUACAGACAAUUGUUGUUUUGUUUUAAUUCUCUUCAAAAGAUGGUUCAUAAUCAAGCCAUGGGACUUUAACAAGUUCUCUCCAAUGCAGGUUUGUCAUGACCAAAAAAUGUAUGGGACUCAUAAAAGGCUAAAAUGUUUAUAAAUAUCAAAACAAAAGUUAAUGGAAUGAACUGAACUAAUAGAAAACUAAAGCAAUAUUCUUCACUUAUUCUUAGAACACGGCUAAUCCUUAUUUUAUUUUUUAGAGUCAAAAAAACUUGUCUUAAGCUAGCUACAGCCUUUGAUAACUAAGCAAAGUGUACUACUAUAGGCAAAGUUUGGAGCAUGUUUAUGUCUCUCUGCCUAAUUCCUGUAGAAUUUGGAAACUAGUUAUAAAUAUUCUUAAAUUACAACAAUAUAGUUGUUUGAAUCAGUGCAGCAAGAAUCCAUUUUCUCUUGCAACAAAACACAAUUGGAAAAACUGGUUGUUUUACCAAGGCUUUGACUAGAAGGGUAUAUUUCCCUUUAAGGAAUCAAGCUUAACUUGCUGAGCCAAUAAAAGCCCCUGGGGAAAACUGGCCUCAUAUCUGUCUACACAGUCUCCAUACAGGGUUCCUGACCUGCAGUGAGUAAAGAAUGUCACUUUCUAACAGGCCUAGGAACCCCAUGCUUCUGGAACCUCAAGAAGGAAAAAAAUUUAUCCAACUCACAGGUAUUUAAAAGUACAAACCUAUGGCUGGGCUUGGCUUUAAAAAGUCCUAUCUAAAAUUCCUCAUGGAACAAGGUUCCAUCAAAGCCAAUCUAAGAGGCUUAUGUAAGGAUGAUUAUUCUUGCUGUACUUUAUGCAAAUAAUUAGGCCAAGUAUAGGACUGAAGUCUGUUUUGCAAACAACUCAGUCCUAUCAUAGAUUAUUUUUAACAAAAAUGAGGACUAGAGAAAGAGAAAUUAUGUUUUAAGACUUAUCAUACAUCUGUUAUUAACCUGUAGUCCCAUCAGUUGUUUUUAAGUUCUUGCCUACAUUUUAAACUAACCCUGCUUACUCCUGUCAACCAACCAGGAAUCUCUGGCUGCAGCUCAGAGAAAACAGAAAGGCAUCGGUAAUAGAAAAAUCUGGAAACAUGUUCUAGUUCUGGGCAAUUAUCCUACAAAUCCUGCCAGGUAAACUAGAACCCCAGGGUUUCUCCCUUUUUUGGGAAAGUAAGACCAAGGAAGCUAAACAAAGCCAAGCCCCAUAUACCCACUUACAGCAGCACAACCCAUCUGAAUGGCUCACAGGUAUCAAACAAACUCUGUUGUCAUGGUUACGGCCUAUAGUGCCCCCAUUAAUAAUAGUAAUCUUAAUACUCAUAUUUAGAACCUAUAUUCUAAACCUCCUUGUGAAGUUUAUCUCUUCUCGCUUAGAAACCAUCAAGCUUCAGAUGGUGCUGAAAAUGGAGCCGAAAAUGAAACUGCCCUCCUACGAGGGACCCUUAAAUCAACCCCAGGAGGAGCCCUAGCUGCUGUUCCCCACACAACGCCACUCUCCAGCAGGAAGUAGCCAGAAGAAAUCGUCACCCAGUUUCCCCUAGCAGCAGUUAUGGAUUUCAUUCCUGAGGGGGGAAAUAUGUUAUAGGAGGCAGAAAGAAAUGAUUUAGGCGCAGUAAGAUUGAGGAGCUAAAAACAGACUUGGGUGGAUGUCUGCAGCUGCAAGAAGAUGUGUGGGAACAGACACAGAAACUCUCCCUCCCAGAUAAGCAAGACAAAGAAACACAGAAUAAGAGUCCAUCUAUGUGGUCAGAGAAUGGGAUAAGAGCUGAUUUAAAAAAACUCUGCUCUAUAUAGAAGGCACACCUGGUCCCAACCAAACCACUGGACCCUAGGAGGAUAAGACCUCCUCUGCUCAUGAGCCCCCUCCUCAGUAGCCCAUUUAUAAAAACCCUGACAAUUUUACUACCACUUGGCAACCCGCUCGGGACCCCUCUCUGUGAUGGAGAGCUGUUCUUUUCUUUUGCCUAUUAAACUCCUGCUCCAAA